GGACUGUAUAUAAAAUCAUAUUGUGGAACUUUCUCUACCUUAAGAUUAUUGUGCAAUCUUAGAACUUGCGUUGAGGCUUUAAUUUUUUUUGUGGUUGUCAGUCCAUGAGUUUUUGAAACAGGAACCACACAAUGAUUUCUGAAUUCCCAGUGAUAUAGGAGCUACUCUUCUAAAAUCUGCAUCAGCUUCUGACCAAACUUUCACUUCUGCUUCAGCUGGGAUGUUUUACCCUCACUUUGAGCUAUGUGUACUAUAAAUGUUUCCUAGUUCCAAAUGGGAAGCAUCCGUCCCAUUUCUGGGCCAAAUUUUCAUGGUCCUUUCAAAUGUGUACUAUAGAAACCAAAUAAAACUCCUGCCCAACACCCACAGAAGAAAUCAGCUUGGAAAGGUUUCUGACAGUGUCCUCCAUGGAAAGAUUUUAUAUAAUUUAAAAUAGUUUAAGUCUAGUUUUGUAUUCUCCUGUUCAUGGCUUGCUGUUUUAAAGACCUGUUAUUUUUAAGGCUCCAUACCAGUGUUAAUCAAUUUUAGCUGCAUGUCCCCAGAUAGUGUACGAAGACAAUAUAUUUAUACUUUUAUUUGUCGAAGAAAGCUCUAUGCCAAACCAAGAUCUUAAUAAUCAGGCAGUGCUUGGGUGGGGAUUUUUUUUGUUUAGCUGUGUUUGUCCUGGAGAUUGUUAGGAUGAAGUAUUUGUUUAAAAGAAACAAAAUGAAAAUGAGGGUCUAUAGCCAAGUUUUCAAAUUAUCCUCUUGCUCACUGGCAGUCGCUGAGACAGGAAAAGUAAUGGCUAGUGAUUUAAAAAUCCUUCGUGCUCUCAUUUUUUGGCAUUUGAGCUCCUAAGAGUGUCUGGCCUUUUUCCUGCAUCCUGAGAUUAGCUGAAGCCCUGAUUUUGUGGGGAUUUUUUACGAUCUACACAGUCCAAAAUGACAAAACUGGUUGGGAAGUUUUUAAGAACUUUUUUUGCAAAGGAAUCUCCCUCGAGAUGUUGGCCACCUUGAACCAUUCUUGACUUCAAAGAGUGUUGAUGAUUGAGUUUCACACAGGCAUAUCAUUCCAGAAACAGCCCUCAGUCUGGGGAGGUGCACUUUCAUUAGGUUGUGAACCUCUCCUGACAUUUCUUCUCCAUGAGUCUCAAUUGUUCCUAAUCCUGUGUUUAACUUUCCUGCGAACUUUGGUUUGGCAGAGGAAUGUAUUUGCUUGUUUGGGGCAGGCUGGGUUUUACUGCUUUGCUUGGAUUUUGUAGUGUUCUUCAAAAUCAGAGUGACUUACUUGGGAAUCUUGCCAGUGUUUUAGACUUCAAAUAGCAAUAGUAAGAUUUGUGUGCUCAUUUGAGGCUUACAUAAAGCUAAAGCUAAUAUUUGUGGGCAUGAUUAAAUGUGUUUGGUAUUUUGGAGGGGAGGGAUGUAUCUAGCUUAUGAGUUAUGCUUGCUGCCUUGUGGGGAUUUUUAUGAAAUGUAGCAGCAGCUCAACAGGUUAUCUAGCAGAGGGAGAGUUAAUGCAUAAUGCUGAUACUCAUAAAUCAGGAGAUUAAUGCCUGCCUUACACCUCUUAAUAAAAACAGCAGAGAACAACAAUCUUAUCAACAUACAUGUAAUCUGUAAACAAGUGUUGUAGUCAAAUACAAACAGAUUUUUAUCAUUAUCCUGCUCCAAACCAUGUGACUUUGCAGUGAAGUAUUGCAGGAGAUGCGUUAAUACCCGUUUGACAACAGUUGCAGCCAAAAAAAAAAAAAAAAUCUUUAAUGCUAACAUGAGCAAGAUAAUUGGGAUUUGUGGGGAAGUGAAUGUCCAGAUUUGAACUUUUGAACUGCCAAGCAUUAAAGGCUGUUGAUUCCUCUCAGUAACUUCUACAGGCUGCUUGUAAUUUUUUUGUGAACAUCCAGACUUAAGGAAAAAGUGGAAUGUGCUAAAUCUUCCAAUUAAUAGAGAUAGCACUGAUGCAUCAAUUAGCAAGCUGAUCACUUCUUGUCCUCCUGCACAGAAACUGUUUUCACAGAGUCACAGAAUGGUUUGGGUUGGAAGGGACUUUAAAACUUAUCCAGUUCCAUUUGCCCUGCCAUGACCAAGGACACCUUCCACUCGACCAGGUUACUCAAAGAUCCACUGAAAAAUAAUACAUUUGUGGCCUCCGAAGAGGAAGCUGAAAAUAUUUUUCUGGAAAGAAAUUAUCUUGGAGAAAAGGAAAAGAAGACUUAAAAGGAAGAAAAUGAAGAGGAAAGAUCUGGGAGUUGAAACAAGUUGUGGAGGACUUCCUGAGGAAGAUAAGCAGAGAUAAAUAUUGGCAAGUGCCUGGAGACCUCAACUGGUGAUGCCCAAGAUGUGUAACUGUGAGCAGUGGCACAGGAUGGACCAGCCUAACCUCUGCCCCACACCAGGAGUGUGGAGACCUUGUGAAUGUAGCCUGAGUGUAGUAUGUGAGCUGUAAAGGAAGGUAAAACUGAAUUUCCUUCCUUUCUAAAUAACCCCUUACCUCUCUGUAAACAGUCUGCUGAAAUGUGAGCAGAUAUCCAAGCCCAUUUAUAUUUAUAUUAUUUAUAUUUAUAUUAUUUAUAUUUUUAUGUAUAAGGUCAUUCUUUAGGUGGGGGUAUGCAGCAUUUGCCAAAGCACAAAUGAAUUCUGGUUCCUAGAUUUAAACAUGUCAUGGACAGACACACAUGAUGUACAGGCUCAGAGAUAGUGUGGGAUGACAGUAGUUCCAUAAAUGCUGCUUACAGUAGGCUGUGGGACUGUAAGCAGCAAUGUAAUCAUAUGUAUUUUCCAGAGGAGAUGGCUGUCUUUUUAAUGCCAGUCCACUUCUAAAAAGCACAAAUAAGCUCAAAACACUUGGAAUUAAAUGGUACUCUGUGAAGAGUAGGUAGGAUUCAUUACACACAUUCCUAAUUAGGUCUUAGAGCAGAAAUUAUUUUGCAUGGUAUUAAAUAACAUGUUUUGCUUUGAACUCUCAAACCUCACUCUAAUCACCUUCCAGCUUUCUUGGGUACUCUUGGGUUCAAACUAAACCCCCCUCUUUUUCCUCAAAUAAUCCAUCAAGUGUUGUUAGCUGGGGGAAGAGAGUCCUCAGAGAAGCGAGUAAGUUGGUAGCAUAAUUGGUUUCCUCUCAAAAAUGUGUAUGAAUGAAGAUAGUUGCAGCUGCUAGUGAGUACAGAGAUAAACUUUCCAUGCUUUAAGUCUUUUGAUAAGUAUUUGUGUAUGUGUUUUGCGGCUAACCCGUUUUAAGGGAAAAAAACCUCAAUAAAUUAGAUAUCUCUACAUCCUAAAAAAGCAAACGUGAACUCUUAUUAAAAGUAAAACAAAUUAUAAACUUUCUUAAAUUGCUUGAUAUGAAAGACAUGAAAAAGUAGGUAAAACACUGGUCUGCAUCCUGAAGCCAGAAUAAAGGAUGAUGAGUGGAGGGAAGUUUCUACAUAAAGGUAAUAAAUCAUUUUCCUUCUGAUCUUCUCAGGGCUUUGAAACUCCUCCUGGCCAUAGGUCCUUCUCCUCCAGCAGGUUCUCCCUAUAGCCUUCAUCACUGAUCAUUUGGGAAGUUAGACUGGAUGUCUCUCUUCUCCUUUCCCCAUCUUCUCACCAUCCUUAGUCCAUCUUCUUCUCCAAAUAUUAAUUGGAAUUAAUUUUAAAUCACAAAUCUCAGCAGAAUGCACAUGACAGACCCCUAAGUGUUGCCCUUUAGGAUGGCUUGGAUGUAUAGUAGCUGUAUUAACCCAGCAAGCAGGGGAAAAUAACCUUGUAAAGACAGUUCAGGCACUGAGCAGAACCAUUUGGUCUCCAGUCAUACGUGUGGAGCUCUCAAGCUAAAAUAUAAAAGUCACAAAAUGUUACAGCUUCAGGUCAUCAAAUCUCAGUGGUGCCUGAGACACUGAACAUUCAAAGCGAAACGGCCAUUAAAAGCAGACCAGCAUCAGCUCUGAGACCACUAAACUAAGAGAUGACACAAAGGGAAGAAAAUCUUUAUGCAGAAUCUCAUUGAAUUGAUGAGCUUACACAGAGCAGUAACAGGCAAUGUAUGGCUUUAUGUGCCUAAAGUGUUUUGUAAAACCCAACCAUCUAUGCGUGCAUGUUUAGUAUAUCCAAGAUACAUUCCAGAGAAUACUUGUAACAAAACCCCUGUUCCUGUGCUCCCUAACACCUUUGUCCCCUGGGUUCCACCGUGCUGUUGAGUUGAAGCCUUUUUUUUCGUCACAUCUUGAUUAAUACUAGGUGCUAAAAGCAAAUUGGUGAUAACUGCUGCUCAUGACAGCUCUUGUGCAAGCUCUUGCCAAUGGCAGCACUGGUUCUUUUCUGUUCUUACCUGCAGCAGCCUUCAUAUUUUAAUCAUGGGCCCCAAGCAGAAAUUGUCAAUUAGAUUGAGCCUUGUGGUUGUCUUUGAAUAAAUGUUCUUUAGCAGA